GAUGAACGCUGGCGGCGUGCCUAAUACAUGCAAGUCGAGCGAACGGACGAGAAGCUUGCUUCUCUGAUGUUAGCGGCGGACGGGUGAGUAACACGUGGAUAACCUACCUAUAAGACUGGGAUAACUUCGGGAAACCGUAGCUAAUACCGGAUAAUAUUUUGAACCGCAUGGUUCAAAGGUGAAAGACGGUCUUGCUGUCACUUAUAGAUGGAUCCGCGCUGCAUUAGCUAGUUGGUAAGGUAACGGCUUACCAAGGCAACGAUGCAUAGCCGACCUGAGAGGGUGAUCGGCCACACUGGAACUGAGACACGGUCCAGACUCCUACGGGAGGCAGCAGUAGGGAAUCUUCCGCAAUGGGCGAAAGCCUGACGGAGCAACGCCGCGUGAGUGAUGAGGGUCUUCGGAUCGUAAAACUCUGUUAUUAGGGAAGAACAUAUGUGUAAGUAACUGUGCACAUCUUGACGGUACCUAAUCAGAAAGCCACGGCUAACUACGUG
rnacentral:rRNA from 1 species